rnacentral:rRNA from 1 species
UACGGGGGGGGCAAGCGUUGUUCGGAAUUACUGGGCGUAAAGGGCUCGUAGGCGGCCAACUAAGUCAGACGUGAAAUCCCUCGGCUUAACCGGGGAACUGCGUCUGAUACUGGAUGGCUUGAAUCCGGGAGAGGGAUGCGGAAUUCCAGGUGUAGCGGUGGAAUGCGCAGAUAUCAGGAGGAACACCAAUAGCGAAGGCAGCUCGCUGGGACGUUACUGACACUAAGGGCGCGAAAGCGUGGGGAGCGAAACAGGA